rnacentral:rRNA from 1 species
UACGGGGGGGGCAAGCGUUGUUCGGAAUUAUUGGGCGUAAAGAGCGUGUAGGCGGCCAUGUAGGUCCGUUGUGAAAACUCGAGGCUCAACCUCGAGACGCCGAUGGAAACCAUGUGGCUAGAGUCCGGAAGAGGAGAGUGGAAUUCCUGGUGUAGCGGUGAAAUGCGCAGAUAUCAGGAAGAACACCCGUGGCUAAGGCGGCUCUCUAGUACGGUACUGACGCUGAGACGCGAAAGCGUGGGGAGCGAACAGG